rnacentral:rRNA from 1 species
UACGUAGGGGGCAAGCGUUGUCCGGAAUCAUUGGGCGUAAAGCGCGCGUAGGCGGCCCGGUAAGUCCGCUGUGAAAGUCCAGGGCUCAACCCUGGAAAGCCGGUGGAUACUGUCGGGCUAGAGUCCGGAAGAGGCGAGUGGAAUUCCUGGUGUAGCGGUGGAAUGCGCAGAUAUCAGGAGGAACACCGAUGGCGAAGGCAGCUCGCUGGGACGGUACUGACGCUGAGGCGCGAAAGCGUGGGGAGCGAACAGG